GAUGAACGCUGGCGGCGUGCCUAAUACAUGCAAGUCGAGCGAACGGACGAGAAGCUUGCUUCUCUGAUGUUAGCGGCGGACGGGUGAGUAACACGUGGAUAACCUACCUAUAAGACUGGGAUAACUUCGGGAAACCGGAGCUAAUACCGGAUGAUAUUUUGAACCGCAUGGUUCAAAAGUGAAAGACGGUCUUGCUGUCACUUAUAGAUGGAUCCGCGCUGCAUUAGCUAGUUGGUAAGGUAACGGCUUACCAAGGCAACGAUGCAUAGCCGACCUGAGAGGGUGAUCGGCCACACUGGAACUGAGACACGGUCCAGACUCCUACGGGAGGCAGCAGUAGGGAAUCUUCCGCAAUGGGCGAAAGCCUGACGGAGCAACGCCGCGUGAGUGAUGAGGGUCUUCGGAUCGUAAAACUCUGUUAUUAGGGAAGAACAUAUGUGUAAGUGACUGUGCACAUCUUGACGGUACCUAGUCAGAAAGCCACGGCUAACUACGUG
rnacentral:rRNA from 1 species